rnacentral:tRNA from 1 species
GGAGAGGUGGCUGAGCGGCUCAAAGCGUCCUCCUGCUAAGAGGAAACGGGCGAUUAACGUCCGUCGCAGGUUCAAAUCCUGCCCUCUCCG